rnacentral:lncRNA from 1 species
AUGGAGGACGCCUCGAGACGCUCGGGGCCAGGAGACACCAGCACAAGAACCCCUCCCCGCUGCGGUCCCGCCCAGUUCCCCCUCUGGGCGCCCGGAAGCGCCCCUCCCCCGGAUCUCGGCCUCGCCCCGCGGCGCGCGAGCGUGUCGUCACCCGCGGCCGGCCAAUCAGAGCGCGCGACUAAAAUAGCCCCUUAUAAAUGCGUGCGCGCGGGCGCCCCUGGCGUAGAGCCGCGCGCUGGGGCGGGGUUGCGCGCGCAGGUGAGCAGGGUGGAGCGGGGCGGGACCUCGCGCACCUGCUUCCGCCUCCCGGCGGCCGGGGGGCGGGGGCGGCAGCGGCUGCUCCAAAGCGCUCGCGGAAGCUGGGGUUCUGUAAAGGCAGCCAAAGCUUUAUGUCCUAAGGCCCAGAUCAAGGACUGCAAAAUUCACUUCUCACAGCAGGAAACAAUAUGCUGA